rnacentral:rRNA from 1 species
CCAGACUCCUACGGGAGGCAGCAGUGAGGAAUAUUGGUCAAUGGGCGCGAGCCUGAACCAGCCAAGUCGCGUGAGGGAGGACGGCCCUACGGGUUGUAAACCUCUUUUGCCGGGGAGCAACGGGCGUCACGUGUGGCGCCACUGAGAGUACCCGGAGAAAAAGCAUCGGCUAACUCCGUGCCAGCAGCCGCGGUAAUACGGAGGAUGCGAGCGUUAUCCGGAUUUAUUGGGUUUAAAGGGUGCGUAGGCGGGACGGUAAGUCAGCGGUAAAAAGGCGGAGCUCAACUCCGUCGAGCCGUUGAAACUGCCGUUCUUGAGUGAGCGAGAAGUAUGCGGAAUGCGUGGUGUAGCGGUGGAAUGCAUAGAUAUCACGCAGAACUCCGAUUGCGAAGGCAGCAUACCGGCGCUCAACUGACGCUGAAGCACGAAGGCGUGGGUAUCGAACAGGAUUAGAUACCCGAGUA